GGAUGAACGCUAGCUACAGGCUUAACACAUGCAAGUCGAGGGGUAGCAGGGUAGCAAUACCGCUGACGACCGGCGCACGGGUGAGUAACACGUAUCCAACCUUCCCAUAACUCAGGGAUAGCCUUUCGAAAGAAAGAUUAAUACCUGAUAGUACUUUUUCAAGGCAUCUUGAGAAAGUUAAAGAUUUAUUGGUUAUGGAUGGGGAUGCGUUCCAUUAGAUAGUUGGUGAGGUAACGGCUCACCAAGUCUUCGAUGGAUAGGGGUUCUGAGAGGAAGGUCCCCCACAUUGGUACUGAGACACGGACCAAACUCCUACGGGAGGCAGCAGUGAGGAAUAUUGGUCAAUGGGCGAGAGCCUGAACCAGCCAAGUAGCGUGAAGGAAUGAAGGUCCUAUGGAUUGUAAACUUCUUUUAUAGUAGAAUAAAGUGAUCCACGUGUGGAUUUUUGUAUGUAUACUAUGAAUAAGGAUCGGCUAACUCCGUGCCAGCCGCCGC
rnacentral:rRNA from 1 species